rnacentral:tRNA from 1 species
AGGGGGAUGACUAAGAUAGCGCAAUUCAGGGUUCAAAUCCCUGUCCCCCUU